UUAUAUUUAUUGUAAUAUUGACUUUGGCUUUGCUAAAGUUAGAUGAGUUGCGCUGUUCUUUUUUCCCUUUUGAAUCAUUGAAUGGUCCGUUUAAUUCAAAUGGUCUAUUAGUUUGGAGAUAAAAUAUGCUCAAUUCUGGCUUACUUUAGGAUAUUUUUUCGAGAAAUAUAAUAUCUUAAUAUAAUAAUCACAAACUACUUAUAUAAAUUGAAAUACUUAAAAGGAUUAAUUUUGAUCAACUUUCUAUUUAGAGGUGAUGAUAGUCCAAUCAAAAAGUAGAUUAUCUCUACUAUUCAAUUAGGUUUCACCUUAAUCUUCUUCUCUAAAAAAAAGGCGCUGUGUUUUUCUUUCAAUUGACAAAUAGGACAUCAAAAAUCAAUACAAAGAUAUCCAUAAACAAUUGACAAAUAGGACAUCAAAACCAACAAAAAUAUGUGAAUUUGUGCCUGAAACUUUGAACUUCUAGUUCUCUCAAUAAAGACAAAUUCUUGCACUGUAAAGUUUUAAUUUUUUAUUAAAAAAUGGUGAAAUGAAAUAAAAAUUCAUCACGACUCCUUUGUCUUAACCAGAAAAUAACAUCUGCGUUUCUAUGCUUGAGUUUUCUAUAA